rnacentral:ncRNA from 1 species
UUCUCGUUAUGCCACCCCCGCCGCGAGGCGGGUCCGGAAAGCCACGGGUCUUCAGGCACGUUCGAAGAAAGCCGGGUUGCAGGC